rnacentral:rRNA from 1 species
CACGUGGAUCAUCUGCCCUUUGGUGGGAUAACUCUGGGAACCGGAGCUAAUACCGCAUAAGUCCGAGAGGAGAACGCAGCAAUGCGCCGAAGGAGGAGUCCGCGGCUGAUUAGCUAGUUGGUAGGGUAAUGGCCUACCAAGGCGACGAUCGGUAGCCGGCCUGAGAGGGCACACGGCCACACUGGCACUGAGACACGGGCCAGACUCCUACGGGAGGCAGCAGUGGGGAAUCUUGCACAAUGGGGGAAACCCUGAUGCAGCGACGCCGCGUGAGUGAUGAAGCCCUUCGGGGUGUAAAGC